rnacentral:rRNA from 1 species
GACGAACGCUGGCGGCGUGCUUAACACAUGCAAGUCGAACGGUAAGGCUCCAGCUUGCUGGGGUACACGAGUGGCGAACGGGUGAGUAACACGUGGGUGACCUGCCCUGCACUUCGGGAUAAGCCUGGGAAACUGGGUCUAAUACCGGAUAGGACCAUGGUGUGGAUACUGUGGUGGAAAGUUUUUUCGGUGUGGGAUGGGCCCGCGGCCUAUCAGCUUGUUGGUGGGGUAAUGGCCUACCAAGGCGGCGACGGGUAGCCGGCCUGAGAGGGUGGACGGCCACAUUGGGACUGAGACACGGCCCAGACUCCUACGGGAGGCAGCAGUGGGGAAUAUUGCACAAUGGGCGGAAGCCUGAUGCGGCGACGCCGCGUGGGGGAUGACGGCCUUCGGGUUGUAAACUCCUUUCACCAUCGACGAAGGGUUUCUGACGGUAGAUGGAGAAGAAGCACCGGCUAACUACGUG